rnacentral:rRNA from 1 species
UGGCGCAGAAAACGCACUAAGUUGACCGCAUGGGGAGUACGGCCGCAAGGUUAAAACUCAAAUGAAUUGAGGGGGGCCCGCACAAGCGGUGGAGCAUGUGGUUUAAUUCGACGCAACGCGAAGAACCUUACCUGGCCUUGACAUGCAGAGAACUUUCCAGAGAUGGAUUGGUGCUUUCGGGAACUCUGACACAGGUGCUGCAUGGCCGUUGUCAGCUCGUGUCGUGAGAUGUUGGGUUAAGUCCCGUAACGAGCGCAACCCCUAUCCUUGGUUGCUAGCAGGUAAUGCUGAGAACUCCAGGGAGACUGCCGGUGACAAACCGGAGGAAGGUGGGGAUGACGUCAGGUCAUCAUGGCCCUUACGGCCAGGGCUACACACGUGCUACAAUGGCGUAUACAGAGGGCUGCCAACUCGCGAGAGUGAGCCAAUCCCUUAAAGUGCGUCGUAGUCCGGAUCGCAGUCUGCAACUCGACUGCGUGAAGUCGGAAUCGCUAGUAAUCGCGAAUCAGAAUGUCGCGGUGAAUACGUUCCCGGGCCUUGUACACACCGCCCGUCACACCAUGGGAGUGGAUUGCACCAGAAGUGGUUAGUCUAACCUUCGGGAGGACGA